rnacentral:misc_RNA from 1 species
UUGCUCGUUCCAUAGCCAACACUCUCCGUCUCGACGACGAUGACGGCGAAGACGGAGUAGAAUUCAAUCGCAACUAUCAAAACGACGUCGUAACGCGUGGUGCCAACUCAUCAACUGCUUCUCACGCCGUUGACGAAGAUACAUCGACUUACGAAGAAAUCGAUUUAGAAGAACGAUCUAAUAACGAUAACGAUUACCGUUCCGGUUCCGAUGUUGAUGAUGAGGAUAAUCAGAAUCGCGGUGUGAAGGAGGAUUUGUCUGAACUGAAGGAAACCCUAACGCGUCAAUUAUGGGGAGUGGCUUCAUUUCUAGCUCCACCACCUCCGCCAUUACCGCCGGGGAAAUCGGAUCUGUUUGGUUCGGAAGGGGACCGGAUUGAGGAUUCCGGGUUGAGUGAUGGAUCCGAGGAGGAAGAGGGGGAAUAUGUUGGGGAUGGAGAUAGUUACAUGGAGAAUUUGGAUGAAGUGGAGGAGAGUGAAAGUAAUGCUGUUGGAGUGACAGAGGAAGUGUUAGCUUUUGCUAGCAAUAUAGCUCAUCAUCCGGAGACUUGGUUGGAUUUUCCGUUUGCUGAUGAAGAAGAAUUUGAUGAUUUUGAGCUCUCUGAGGCCCAACUGAGGCAUGCAUAUGCUGUUGAACGUCUAACGCCGAGACUAGCUGCUCUCAGAUUCGAACUUUCUCCUGCUCAUUUGAGUGAAGGCUUCUUUUGGAUGGUCUAUUUUGUUCUACUUUACUCAAGACUGAAAAAGCAGGACGCUGAGCUUUUGUCUACAUCUCAGCUUGUAGAGGCAAGGGCUAUGUGGAUGCAAGAGCUGCAAA